UAUAUUAGGUAUGCCCUGCCCAGUGAUUAUAAUUUAACGGCCGCAGUACUCUGACUGUGCUAAGGUAGCAUAAUAAUUUGUCUUUUAAUUCUAGACUAGAAUAAACGGGUGUUUUAAUGGAAUCUGUCUCAUGUAUUACUAUUUUAACUUUCUUAUAAGGUGAAAAUACCUUACUACUACUANUUAGACGAGAAGACCCUUAGAGUUUAAUUUAUAUUUUGUUGGGGCGACAGAGAAACAAAUAGCNUUUCUUAUUUAUUAAUUUAUAUAUCUAUCUUAUAUAAUAAUAGAUAAACUACCUAAGGGAUAACAGCAUAAUUUUUUUUAAAGAUUAUGACCUCGAUGUUGGAUUAAGGACUUAUACACUAAAAGUUUAAUAANGAUUGUUCUGUUCGAACA
rnacentral:rRNA from 1 species